UAUGGGGGGGUGCUUAAUACAUGCAGUAGAACGCUGAAGAGAGGAGCUUGCUCUUCUUGGAUGAGUUGCGAACGGGUGAGUAACGCGUAGGUAACCUGCCUUGUAGCGGGGGAUAACUAUUGGAAACGAUAGCUAAUACCGCAUAACAAUGGAUGACACAUGUCAUUUAUUUGAAAGGGGCAAUUGCUCCACUACAAGAUGGACCUGCGUUGUAUUAGCUAGUAGGUGAGGUAACGGCUCACCUAGGCGACGAUACAUAGCCGACCUGAGAGGGUGAUCGGCCACACUGGGACUGAGACACGGCCCAGACUCCUACGGGAGGCAGCAGUAGGGAAUCUUCGGCAAUGGGGGCAACCCUGACCGAGCAACGCCGCGUGAGUGAAGAAGGUUUUCGGAUCGUAAAGCUCUGUUGUAAGUCAAGAACGAGUGUGAGAGUGGAAAGUUCACACUGUGACGGUAGCUUACCAGAAAGGGACGGCUAACUACGUGCCAGCAGCCGCGGUAAUACGUAGGUCCCGAGCGUUGUCCGGAUUUAUUGGGCGUAAAGCGAGCGCAGGCGGUUUGAUAAGUCUGAAGUUAAAGGCUGUGGCUCAACCAUAGUUCGCUUUGGAAACUGUCAAACUUGAGUGCAGAAGGGGAGAGUGGAAUUCCAUGUGUAGCGGUGAAAUGCGUAGAUAUAUGGAGGAACACCGGUGGCGAAAGCGGCUCUCUGGUCUGUAACUGACGCUGAGGCUCGAAAGCGUGGGGAGCGAACAGGAUUAGAUACCCUGGUAGUCCACGCCGUAAACGAUGAGUGCUAGGUGUUGGAUCCUUUCCGGGAUUCAGUGCCGCAGCUAACGCAUUAAGCACUCCGCCUGGGGAGUACGACCGCAAGGUUGAAACUCAAAGGAAUUGACGGGGGCCCGCACAAGCGGUGGAGCAUGUGGUUUAAUUCGAAGCAACGCGAAGAACCUUACCAGGUCUUGACAUCCCGAUGCUAUUUCUAGAGAUAGAAAGUUACUUCGGUACAUCGGUGACAGGUGGUGCAUGGUUGUCGUCAGCUCGUGUCGUGAGAUGUUGGGUUAAGUCCCGCAACGAGCGCAACCCCUAUUGUUAGUUGCCAUCAUUCAGUUGGGCACUCUAGCGAGACUGCCGGUAAUAAACCGGAGGAAGGUGGGGAUGACGUCAAAUCAUCAUGCCCCUUAUGACCUGGGCUACACACGUGCUACAAUGGUUGGUACAACGAGUUGCGAGUCGGUGACGGCAAGCUAAUCUCUUAAAGCCAAUCUCAGUUCGGAUUGUAGGCUGCAACUCGCCUACAUGAAGUCGGAAUCGCUAGUAAUCGCGGAUCAGCACGCCGCGGUGAAUACGUUCCCGGGCCUUGUACACACCGCCCGUCACACCACGAGAGUUUGUAACACCCGAAGUCGGUGAGGUAACCUUUGGAGCCACCCGUCUUAGGAGCGCGCACGAA
rnacentral:rRNA from 1 species